ACAAGGCAGAUAAAUACAAAACUGCUCGCCAAAUUACUACGAGUGAAAACUUAAAACUUAAAAGACUUGACGGUACUUCACACUCAACCUAGAGGAGCCUGUCUAAUAACCGAUAAUCCACGAUUAACCCAACCACUCCUGGCCCCACAGCCUAUAUACCGCCGUCGCCAGCCCACCUUGUGAAAGAAACUAAGUGGACAAAACAGCAUCACACUAACACGACAGGUCGAGGUGUAGCAUAUGAAGUGGUCAAAGAUGGGCUACAUUUUCUAACUUAGACCAAACGAACAAGACAAUGAAAUAAACCUUUAAAGGCGGAUUUAGUAGUAAGAUGAGAACACAAUACUCAACUGAUACAAAUGCAA
rnacentral:rRNA from 1 species